GUUAAAAAGCUCGUAGUUGGAUUUCUGCGGGGGCGGGGCGGCCGGUUGCUUAUAGCAACUCGAGCUAGCACUUCCCCUGCAUCCUGCCGCGAACCGUGCUACCAUUAGUUUGGUGGCGCUGGGGAUCGGCUCGUUUACUUUGAGAGAAAUAGAGUGUUCAAAGCAGGCCACACGCCUUGAAUAAGUUAGCGUGGAAUAAUGAUAAAGCACUUCGGUUCUAUUUUGUUGGUGUUCGGGACUGAAGUAAUGAUUGAUAGGGACAGUUGGGGCGGUCCGUAUUCCAAAGCGAGAGGUGAAAUUCUUAGACCUUCGGAAGACGAACAGCUGCGAGAGCGUUCCGCAAGGAUGUUCCCUUUGAUCAAGAACGAAAGUUGGGGGAUCGAAGACGAUCAGAUACCGUCGUAGUCUCAACUAUAAACUAUACCAGCUAGGGAUCGGCCAACGUUUAAUUACACCGACUUGGU
rnacentral:rRNA from 1 species